ACUUACAAAAACUAUAACUUACUGUGAAUUAAUCACUCACUCACUGGCAGAUCUUUAAAAUUAUUGAGCACUUCUCGUUAUCGUAAAAAAAAACUUUUGAAAAAUUAUUUUUAUUUAUUUUUUUUUCAUUUUACGAAAGACUUUAUAUUUCUUAUAAUUUUUUCCAGUAAAACUUUAAAAAUGAAUGUGAUAUAUAAGAAAAACCAAAACAAUAGCAUGAAGCUGCCCCAAAAGUUUAUCAUAGAACCGGAAUAGGAGCUCUGAGCCCAAAUACACUAAAUAUCAACAAAAACAAAACUGUUAAAAAAGAUGCCAACUUAAAUUUCAACUGAUGGAAUUUUAAUUACAUUAGUUUUCUUGGAAAGAUUUCAAACAACUUUAAAAAUCGGUCAUUUAAUGAAAAAUUGUCUUUAAAAACAAUCAAAAUGGGAAGAGUUAUAAAUAAAAUGUACGACUGGGUCGCAUGUACUUGCUCUUGCAGCUCAAAGCA